AUAUCAGUCAUGCAUAGCAUAUCAAUAAGCGGAGGAAAAGAAACUAACAAGGAUUCCCUUAGUAACGGCGAGUGAAGCGGGAAGAGCUCAAAUUUGAAAUCUUCAAGGUUUUACCUUGACGAAUUGUAGUUUAAAGAAGUGUUUUCUGUUGAAGUUUUGGUAAAAGUUCUUUGGAAUAGGACAUCAUAGAGGGUGAGAAUCCCGUAUUUGACCAUUACUUUCAGCUUUGUGAUACACUUUCAAAGAGUCGGAUUGUUUGGGAAUGCAGUCCAAAAUGGGUGGUAAAUUUCAUCUAAGCUAAAUAUUGGCGAGAGACCGAUAGCGAACAAGUACCGUGAGGGAAAGAUGAAAAGAACUUUGAAAAGAGAGUUAAACAGUACGUGAAAUUGUCAAAAGGGAAGCGUUUGACACCAGUGUUGUUUUCUCGAAAAUCAAUUAAAAAGAGUUGGAUUUUGUGUUGUAUUGACUUUAUCAGCUUUCUUCACUCUUUUCCAGCUUUUUUUAAUGCACUUUUCGUUUAACAAGUCAACAUCAGUUUCUUUUGUUGUAAAAAGGUCAUUGGAGGGUGGCUUUCUCUUCGGAGAAAGUGUUUAUAGCCUUUGACUCAUGCAAUCGGAGAGACUGAGGUCUGCAGCGUAGAUCCUUCGGGGUUAGAUACAUUUGUGCUAAGUUAUAGCUUUUCAUAGACAACUUGUUGACUAUGUUUAGUCUUGUAGCUUACUCGCUUAUGUUAUUUUACCUACGCUUAGGAUGUUGAACUCUAUCACACACA
rnacentral:rRNA from 1 species